rnacentral:tRNA from 1 species
GUUGGCUUGGCGCAGUGGUAAGCGUACUCGGUUUGGGUCCGAGAGAUCACGACUCCGAGAGGUCGCGAGUUCGAACCUCGCAGCUGACC